rnacentral:ncRNA from 1 species
CGUAUUGCGGCGCUAGAGGUGAAAUUCUUGGACCGUCGCAAGACGAACUACUGCGAAAGCAUUUGCCAAGAAUGUUUUCAUUGAUCAAGAACGAAAGUUAGAGGUUCGAAGGCGAUCAGAUACCGCCCUAGUUCUAACCAUAAACGAUGCCAACCAGCGAUCCGCCUGAGUUACUCAAAUGACUCGGCGGGCAGCUUCCGGGAAACCAAAGUAUUUGGGUUCCGGGGGAAGUAUGGUUGCAAAGCUGAAACUUAAAGGAAUUGACGGAAGGGCACCACCAGGAGUGGAGCCUGCGGCUUAAUUUGACUCAACACGGGAAAACUUACCCGGCCCGGACACUGGGAGGAUUGACAGAUUGAGAGCUCUUUCUUGAUUCGGUGGAUGGUGGUGCAUGGCCGUUCUUAGUUGGUGGAGCGAUUUGUCUGGUUAAUUCCGAUAACGAACGAGACUCUAGCCUAUUAAAUAGGUGCGUGGUUCUCUGCACCUUGCACCCUUCUUAGAGGGACAAGCGGCUCCUAGCCGCACGAAACAGAGCAAUAACAGGUCUGUGAUGCCCUUAGAUGUCCGGGGCCGCACGCGCGCUACACUGAAGGAAGCAGCGUGUUUUUAUCCCUGUCUGUAAAGACUGGGUAACCCGUGGAACCUCCUUCGUGAUUGGGAUAGGGGCUUGCAAUUGUUCCCCUUGAACGAGGAAUUCCCAGUAAGCGCGAGUCAUAAGCUCGCGUUGAUUACGUCCCUGCCCUUUGUACACACCGCCCGUCGCUACUACCGAUUGAAUGAUUUAGUGAGGUCUUCGGACCGAUACCCGGAGCGGCCUUUCGGUUGCGCCGGUGUGUUGGAAAGAUGACCAAACUUGAUCAUUUAGAGGAAGUAAAAGUCGUAACAAGGUUCCGUAGUGAACCUGCGGAAGAUCAUUA